rnacentral:rRNA from 1 species
GGCGAACGCUGGCGGCGUGCUUAACACAUGCAAGUCGAACGGAAAGGCCCUGCUUUUGUGGGGUGCCCGAGUGGCGAACGGGUGAGUAACACGUGAGUAACCUGCCCUUGACUUUGGGAUAACUUCAGGAAACUGGGGCUAAUACCGGAUAGGAGCUCCUGCUGCAUGGUGGGGGUUGGAAAGUUUCGGCGGUUGGGGAUGGACUCGCGGCUUAUCAGCUUGUUGGUGGGGUAGUGGCUUACCAAGGCUUUGACGGGUAGCCGGCCUGAGAGGGUGACCGGCCACAUUGGGACUGAGAUACGGCCCAGACUCCUACGGGAGGCAGCAGUGGGGAAUAUUGCACAAUGGGCGGAAGCCUGAUGCAGCAACGCCGCGUGCGGGAUGACGGCCUUCGGGUUGUAAACCGCUUUCGCCUGUGACGAAGCGUGAGUGACGGUAAUGGGUAAAGAAGCACCGGCUAACUACGUG